rnacentral:rRNA from 1 species
AUUGAACGCUGGCGGCAUGCCUUACACAUGCAAGUCGAACGGCAGCACGGGAGCAAUCCUGGUGGCGAGUGGCGAACGGGUGAGUAAUAUAUCGGAACGUGCCCAGUCGUGGGGGAUAACGUAGCGAAAGCUACGCUAAUACCGCAUACGAUCUAUGGAUGAAAGCGGGGGAUCGCAAGACCUCGCGCGAUUGGAGCGGCCGAUAUCAGAUUAGGUAGUUGGUGAGGUAAAGGCUCGCCAAGCCGACGAUCUGUAGCUGGUCUGAGAGGACGACCAGCCACACUGGGACUGAGACACGGCCCAGACUCCUACGGGAGGCAGCAGUGGGGAAUUUUGGACAAUGGCGCAAGCCUGAUCCAGCAAUGCCGCGUGCAGGAUGAAGGCCU